rnacentral:lncRNA from 1 species
UAGAGCCUGCGAUGCUCUGCCGGCCCCCUUUGACUUCACCUAGACGUGGGUGGAUGGAGCUCCCAGACGUGGGAGACUUUUGUCAGGUGGUCAUUCAGAAAUGGAUGAAUCACAUUCUGACUGAGAUCCCACUACACCCUCUAUAUGUUUGAUAUGACAUCCAGAGUUUUGGUGAGUUAUUUCUGUUCAUGCUCUGGAUAAGUAUGAUAUGAUUGCAACGUCAAGGACGACGUUUGAGCUUCUGUACGGUAUUUGUGUUUGAUAUGCUCUGAAAUGCUUCAUUCACUGUUGAUUUUGCUUCGUAAUGUUCCAUAUGCCGUUGAUAUGCUUCGGAACAUUUCAUAUGUCAUUGAUAAGCUCCUACAUGUUUCCUUGUUACUGAUAUGCUCCAAUUACUCUAUGCCCCAUCUGUCAGGAACCAAAUAUGUAUGAUUAAAAGGACAAUUGUGAUUCUGCUCCUAAUGAUAUUAUGUCUACGAAAUCGUAUAUUCUGCUUUGUGUUUUGAAACUGUAUCUCUUUGGAAAUUGUACUAUUUUGAUAUGGAUAUGUUAGUCACUUGCUGAGC